CUGAAAUCAGCACAUAUGGCACAAUUGUUUUACUGUGUGCUAGGCAGGUUACUGUGCUAUGUUAAUAUAUUUUUCCUUCAGUUUUUGGUAUUCAACUCUGUAUAUGUUAAUAUAUUUUGCCUCUAAAUGAAGGAAAUACACUUCAUUUAAUCCAGGACUGGAGUGACGCCGACGCCACUCUGAUGGUCACACUACUGCAUCUCGAGGUCGUACUAGGUUUAGUCAAAGUCAAACUUUAGAAAGUUUGACUAAAAAUAUAUGAAAAUAUACUAAUAUCUAAAAUAUAAAUUGGUACUAUUAGAAUCACCUUGAAAUGUACUCUAAUAUUAUAUAAUAAAUAUGUAAUCGUGGAUGUUGAUAUUUUUUGUAACAUCUUUGGUCAAACUUUAAAUUUCUUGACUUUGACUAAAGCCAAAACGAAGGGUAAAUAAAAACGGAGGGAGUGCAUUUUUCAUCAUUCUCUACUUACUUAUUUGAUGAAUACUUAUCAUUGUUUUGUAUUGAAUGACAGGUCAUGUGGUAUUAAACUAUUAAUGAUGAUUAAUAUUGGAUUUUACUAAAUGACUACUACAGAAAAAAUGGGCUUGCUUCUUGUGCGGGCAGGAAAAGUUCUUGUUCUUUCAUGAAAUGUGCGAUGGUGUUCAAUGUGUGCGAUGUUGUGUAAAUGCAAGCUUGAUAUAGAAUCUCUACGCGAUAUGCAUGUGAGUAUAUUUUGGUAUGGCUAUCUCUACUGAGCCCCUUUUUCCUUGUUCAUUGUGCAAUCACAAGGCAAAAAACAACCAGUCUAAAGGAAUGUAGCAUUUAGAAAUAAAGCACAUUGAAGCUUCCGGUAAUUUCCGGCAUUUUGAUUGCACCUCUGUCUGCACAAAAAUUAUGAAUCGUAGAUCUGUAGGUGUUUGUCCCUUAUUGCCUCCUUCUUACUUUCUACUCAAAGUCUGUAUCCUUUUGUGCAAUGCCAGAUAUUUCAUGAAAUAAAAAUGUUUAUAGGGCUUUCUACCAAGUAUCUGGAUCUUACCUUGGUAAUGGUCAGGUGCUAAUCAACAUCUCAUAAAGAACUUGCAUAGUCUCUUUGCCUUUUUGCUUCUGACCUAAAACUUGCUAAAACCACCCAAGUGUUGAGGAGCUUGCCUUCCAUGUGACAAGAAGGUAGCAUUUUUUAUCCAUGACAGUUAAACCACUCUAUGCAUGUGCCCUGCAUCCUUUAGAUGUUGCUCGCUGUUAUGACUAAAUAGGUUAAUAGUCGCUUGCAGCCAUGGAUCUUAGACUAUGAGUUUGGUUGCUGGUCCUAGCAUAGUUGUCCAUUAUUCUUAGCUACUGCUUAUUUAUGUUCAGAAAGAUUCAUUACUCAUUGGUUAGGCCUGUUGUGUCUUGGCUAUACAUAUUAUCCAAUGGCUCCUCUUACAUUCUCUAGGUGUACUUAUUAACUCACAGCUUAUCAUUGAUUUAUGUUAAUGCUUCACAUAUCAUUUACCAGUUGUUUACUAGUGCGAAUUACAGGGCAGCGCGGCAAGCCCGCGCUCUAUCUCAUUUCGGUUAAAAACUAGAAUGUGAGGUGGGCAUCUUUGAGCUGAAAGAAACUUGAUGGUCGAAGUCUUGCCAUCAGUAUAUUCAUAAACACAAUUACAUCCAUAGGUUCAAUAUGUUCGAUGUGUUUGCUCAACUCCUUCUUUGGUUCAUUAUCUCUACAGCGAUAUUGAGCCUGGUAAUCUACUUGUCAGAUAAGAAUAGUCUUAUAGUUUUUAGAUUGCUCGAAAUUCUUAACCUUGAACAAAAAUGCGCCUAUGCACAUUGAUUGAGCAUACAUGCUUCCUCGAGGCCAGAAUCUUUUUUCCUCAACAUUAUUAUUGAAUCAAAUGUUGACCUACGAAUGUAAUUGUCCUCUCUAUGGUGCGUCAGUUGUUUUUUCAAUGAUAUACUCUUUGGAUUACAUAAUUGUUUA